rnacentral:rRNA from 1 species
ACCAAUUCUAGCCCUAACAUUCUCUAAUUAAAUUACCCUGCACUACCAAAUAAAACAAAACAUUUACCAUAUAAAAGUAUUGGAGAAAGAAAUUUGUAUAAGGAGCUAUAGAAAAAGUACCGUAAGGGAAAGAUGAAAGAUUAAUAAAAAGUAAAAACCAGCAAAGAUUAAACCUUGUACCUUUUGCAUAAUGAAUUAACUAGAAAUUAUCUAACUAAAAGAAUUAAAGCUAGGAACCCCGAAACCAAACGAGCUACCUAAAAACAAUUUUAUGAAUUAACCCGUCUAUGUAGCAAAAUAGUGGGAAGAUUUUUAGGUAGAGGUGAAAAGCCUAACGAGCUUGGUGAUAGCUGGUUACCCAAAAAAUGAAUUUUAGUUCAACUUUAAAUUUACUUAAAGAACUAAAAAAUCUACACGUAAAUUUAAAUUAUAGCCAAAAGAGGGACAGCUCUUUAGGAAUGGAAAAAACCUCAAAUAGUGAAUAAAUAACAAUACUAUAUUAACCAUUGUAGGCCUAAAAGCAGCCAUCAACAAAGAAAGCGUUCAAGCUCAACAUAAAAAACUUACUAAUCCCAAAAAUUUUUUAAUUUCCUAAACUAUAAAUUGGGUGAUUCUAUAAUUUUAUAGAAGAAAUACUGUUAAUAUGAGUAACAAGAAUUAAUUCUCCAAGCACAAGCGUAUAACAACCCGGAUAACCAUUGUUAGUUAUUAUCAGAUUAUAGACCAUACUUAUAUAUUAACUAGUCUAAAAUUUAUCUGUUGACCCAACACAGGAGUGCUAAAAGGAAAGAUUAAACAAAAUAAAAGGAACUCGGCAAACCAGGACCCCGCCUGUUUACCAAAAACAUCACCUCUAGCAUAACAAGUAUUAGAGGCAUUGCCUGCCCAGUGACUGUAGUUAAACGGCCGCGGUAUCCUGACCGUGCAAAGGUAGCAUAAUCACUUGUUCCUUAAUUAGGGACUUGUAUGAACGGCUAAACGAGGGUCCAACUGUCUCUUAUUUUUGAUCAGUGAAAUUGACCUUCCAGUGAAGAGGCUGGAAUCCCAAAAUAAGACGAGAAGACCCUAUGGAGCUUAAAUUUGUAAACUUAUACAUGUAUCCUCCAUACACCUAAUGGGGUAAAAAUAAAAGUAAUAAGCUUAAGAUUUUGGUUGGGGUGACCUCGGAGAACAGAAAAUCCUCCGAACGAUUAUAACAUAGACCAACAAGUCAAAGUAAACUAAAUUUCCAAUUGACCCAAAAUAAUUUGAUCAACGGACCAAGUUACCCUAGGGAUAACAGCGCAAUCCUAUUUAAGAGUCCAUAUCGACAAUAGGGUUUACGACCUCGAUGUUGGAUCAGGACAUCCAAAUGGUGCAGAAGCUAUUAAUGGUUCGUUUGUUCAACGAUUAAAGUCCUACGUGAUCUGAGUUCAGACCGGAGAAAUCCAGGUCGGUUUCUAUCUAUUUACAAUUUCUCCCAGUACGAAAGGAUAAGAGAAAUAGAGCCACCUUUACAAAAGCGCUCUACACCAAAUUUAUGAAAAAUAUCUUAAUAAAAUUAACAUGUAAAAUUUCUUACCUAGACCAGGUU